rnacentral:tRNA from 1 species
GGGGAUUUAGCUUAGUGGUAAAGCGCUUGCCUAGCAAGCGCAAGGCCCUGGGUUCGGUCCCCAGCUCCG